AUUGCUCAGUUAGUUAGAGCUUGGUGCUGGUAACACCAAGGUCAUGGGUUCGAUCCCUGUU
rnacentral:tRNA from 1 species